AGUGAACGCUGGCGGUAGGCCUAACACAUGCAAGUCGAACGGCAGCACAGUAAGAGCUUGCUCUUACGGGUGGCGAGUGGCGGACGGGUGAGGAAUACAUCGGAAUCUACUUUUUCGUGGGGGAUAGCGUAGGGAAACUUACGCUAAUACCGCAUACGACCUACGGGUGAAAGCAGGGGAUCUUCGGACCUUGCGCGAUUGAAUGAGCCGAUGUCGGAUUAGCUAGUUGGCGGGGUAAAGGCCCACCAAGGCGACGAUCGGUAGCUGGUCUGAGAGGAUGAUCAGCCACACUGGAACUGAGACACGGUCCAGACUCCUACGGGAGGCAGCAGUGGGGAAUAUUGGACAAUGGGCGCAAGCCUGGUCCAGCCAUACCGCGUGGGUGAAGAAGGCCUUCGGGUUGUAAAGCCCUUUUGUUGGGAAAGAAAAGCAGCAGGUUAAUACCCCGCUGUUCUGACGGUACCCAAAGAAUAAGCACCGGCUAACUUCGUG
rnacentral:rRNA from 1 species